rnacentral:rRNA from 1 species
CGGGAGUCAUGCUGGAAUGCCGACUCCCCGAAACGCUCAGGCGCUGUAGGAUGUGGCUGCGGCCGAUUAGGUAGACGGUGGGGUAACGGCCCACCGUGCCGAUAAUCGGUACGGGUUGUGAGAGCAAGAGCCCGGAGACGGAAUCUGAGACAAGAUUCCGGGCCCUACGGGGCGCAGCAGGCGCGAAACCUUUACACUGCACGCAAGUGCGAUAAGGGGACCCCAAGUGCGAGGGCAUAUAGUCCUCGCUUUUCUCGACUGUAAGGCGGUCGAGGAAUAAGAGCUGGGCAAGACCGGUGCCAGCCGCCGCGGUAAUACCGGCAGCUCAAGUGAUGACCGAUAUUAUUGGGCCUAAAGCGUCCGUAGCCGGCCAUGAAGGUUCAUCGGGAAAUCCGCCAGCUCAACUGGCGGGCGUCCGGUGAAAACCACGUGGCUUGGGACCGGAAGGCUCGAGGGGUACGUCCGGGGUAGGAGUGAAAUCCCGUAAUCCUGGACGGACCACCGAUGGCGAAAGCACCUCGAGAAGACGGAUCCGACGGUGAGGGACGAAAGCUAGGGUCUCGAACCGGAUUAGAUACCCGGGUAGUCCUAGCUGUAAACGAUGCUCGCUAGGUGUGACACAGGCUACGAGCCUGUGUUGUGCCGUAGGGAAGCCGAGAAGCGAGCCGCCUGGGAAGUACGUCCGCAAGGAUGAAACUUAAAGGAAUUGGCGGGGGAGCACUACAACCGGAGGAGCCUGCGGUUUAAUUGGACUCAACGCCGGACAUCUCACCAGCUCCGACUAUAGUGAUGACGAUCAGGUUGAUGACCUUACCACGACGCUAUAGAGAGGAGGUGCAUGGCCGCCGUCAGCUCGUACCGUGAGGCGUCCUGUUAAGUCAGGCAACGAGCGAGACCCGCACUUCUAAUUGCCAGCAGCAGUUUCGACUGGCUGGGUACAUUAGAAGGACUGCCGCUGCUAAAGCGGAGGAAGGAACGGGCAACGGUAGGUCAGUAUGCCCCGAAUGAGCUGGGCUACACGCGGGCUACAAUGGUCGAGACAAUGGGUUGCUAUCUCGAAAGAGAACGCUAAUCUCCUAAACUCGAUCGUAGUUCGGAUUGAGGGCUGAAACUCGCCCUCAUGAAGCUGGAUU